AUUUCUAUUUCUAUUUCUAUUUCUGCCGGGUUUUUUUUUUUUUUUUCCCUCCUCUGUGCUUUCUAGGGUUUUUGCUCUGCUCAAUUACUUGUUUAUGCUCUGGAUUUUUGUUAUUUUGGUCUGGUUCUCAGCUCCGUCGGAUAAUUGUUGAAGUAGCUUGUUAAUUCAACUUUCUGGUGGGGAAUUCAUAUUGUUUCCCUGCUGGGAAAGUGAAGAUGAUUUGUGGAUGGAGGUGGCAGUUUUUAUAUUGCGGAUUUUCUGUUUUCGUUUUAAUAGAUGCAGAGUAUUCGUGCUCGGGAGCAGGUUGGAGGGAAAUCAAGUACGUGAAAGAAUGAAGUUAGUCUGGAGAGAAUGGAAGAAAUGAGUGAGGAAAUGACGCUAUUGGAUGUGACAGAGGAUGCGCAUGUCCAAAAUAAGGUUAGGCAAGAUGCUCAAGAGAAUGAGUAUUCACUGAAACCUGAAAAUAUCAACAUGGUUGAAUCACAAGAAAUGCUUAUGCCCAUUGACGGUGGCUAUUCACAGGAUUAUCCUCAUGAAUUUACUGACAUUUUAGAGGGUAAGAAUCUGAAUAGGUGUAAGAACAAUGUGAAAUUAUCUGAUCAACCAGAGUGCAGUCCUCACUGUAUGGAUGAUGCUGGCGUAAUGGUUGAAGAACUAACUGUGAAAAAUCAAAGUGGUUCCAAUUUAGCAAUUAUUGGUCCAUCAAACAAUAGAGCACGACUGCUUUCUGGGCAUAGUCCGUGGCAGCAUCUUUACCAGCUGGCAAGUGGUUCAGGAAGUGGGAGUUCAUUUGGCGAUACUUCUUACAAGAAUAUUGGUCAGGCAGUAAUCACUGGCUUGGAGAAUGGUGGGUACUCAUCUUUUCCGGAGUCUUUUGUUGGAGGAGCCAAUCGUAAUGAUUGUGGAGAGGAAUUGGAAGAAUUGAAGGCUAUUGACAAUAAGGGUGGUGAUGCUCUUGGCAGCAUUCGGACCAAGAUUCUAUCAAAAUCGGGGUUUCCUGAAUAUUUUGUUAAAAAUACCUUGAAAGGCAAGGGUAUCAUUCGAAGAGCUGUUCCUCUGGAGGGCUUUAGUGUUGAACAUAGAAACCCUAAGACUGCAAGGAAUGCUGGGGGCAUUACAUUGGCAUCUGACUCAUCAUUACGGCAUGAUGCUAAAGCUGUCAUGCCCUCUACGUAUAAGAAAUCUGAGCGUAAACGUCAGAGUUCUGCUUUAGAUGGUAUUAAUCUAAGAGAAUGGCUUAAAGUUCCCCACGAAAAAGUAAAUAAAACUAAAUGCUUGUAUAUAUUUAGGCGCAUAGUUGAACUGGUGGAUCGUGCUCAUGCUCGGGGGGUUUUCUUGCAUGACUUACGACCAUCUUCUUUCAGGAUAUUGACAACAAAUCAGGUGAGGUACUUUGGAUCUUUUAUUCAAGGGAAAAUGCCUGAAAGUCUAAUGGUUAUAGAUAGUCAAUGUUCAGAUAGCCGUCCGACUCGGAAAAGGCCAUUAGAACAAGGGAACUUUCUGUCAUUUGGUGUAUCUCCAAAAAAGCAAAAAGAUAUCCAAAAUACAAGUCUUAUGGCCCGGCACUCUCAUUUUCCUUUAAAAUCUUGUGUCAAUCUUGAGACUGCAAACACAAGGGACUGCAAUAUGAAUGAUUUGGAAAAUUAUGAUGAACGUUUUACGGAACGGGGGGUUUGGAGCAUGCCUGCUGGCCAUUGUGCAUAUGAUUCAGCCCAGACUCCAACAAGUGACCAAUUGGAAGAGAAUUGGUAUGCAAGUCCAGAGGAACUAAAUGCAGGAUGCUUCUCAGCUAAAUCAAAUAUAUUCUCACUUGGUGUUCUUCUUUUUGAGUUACUUGGAAAGUUUGAAUCUGAUGGCACACUUGCUGCUGCAAUGUCAAAUUUGCGUGAUAGGAUUCUUCCUCCUAACUUCCUAGCAGAUAAUUUGAAGGAAGUUGGGUUUUGUCUUUGGCUACUUCAUCCUGAACCUGCAUCUCGUCCGACAACAAGGGAAAUUUUACAAUCAGAACUAAUUAAUGGAAUGACAAAUUCUCCGCCAGUAGAGCUUUCAACAUCUAUUGAUGAGGAAGAUGCUGAAUCAGAGUUAUUAUUGCAGUUUCUCACAUCGAUGAAUGAACAAAAGCAGAAACAAGCCGCAAAGUUGGCGGAGGACAUUCGGCAUUUAGAAUCAGAUAUUGAAGAAGUCAACAAAAGGCACAGAUCCACGGAACCCUUGGUUAAAUCUGGCUUGUCUAGUACGGUGGAUGGAAGGGAUGAUUUCGUGUUUCAUGGAGGAUAUCAGAAUUCAGAUGUGCGCUCUGUGGUAUCUAAAAUAUCACAUAUCAAUGAAGAGAGAAUAGAAAAAAAUAUAAUCCAGCUUGAAAGUGCUUAUUUUUCCAUGAGAUCAAAAGUAGACUCUUCUGAGAAUGAUUCAGCAGUUCGGACAGAUACAGAUUUAUUUAGAACUCGUGAAAACUGUUAUCUACCACAAAAAGAUGAUGAAAGGACUCAUGGUGAUCGUCUUGGUGCCUUUUUUGACGGGUUUUGCAAGUAUUCUCGUUAUAGCAAGUUUCAAGUACGUGGGGUACUGAGAAGUGGUGAUUUUAACAGUUCCUCAAAUGUAAUCUGCUCCUUGAGUUUUGAUCGGGACGAGGACUAUUUUGCUGCUGCUGGAGUGUCAAAGAAAAUAAGGAUUUUUGACUUUAAUUCAGUCUUUAGCGACUCAGUAGAUAUUCACUAUCCCGCAGUUGAAAUGUUUAAUAGAUCAAAGCUUAGCUGUGUUUGCUGGAAUAGCUACAUCAGGAACUAUCUGGCUUCUACUGACUAUGAUGGUGUUGUUAAGCUAUGGGAUGCAACUGUUGGUCAAGAGGUUUCUCAAUUCAAAGAACAUGAGAAGAGGGCGUGGUCUGUUGACUUUUCAAAAGUGCAUCCUACAAAGUUGGCCAGUGGAAGUGAUGAUUGUGCUGUAAAACUUUGGAGCAUUAGUGAGAAGAACUCUUUGGGUACAAUCAGGAACAUUGCAAAUGUCUGCUGCGUUCAGUUUUCUGCUCACUCAACUCAUAUGCUUGCUUUUGGAUCUGCCGAUUACAGAACCUAUUGCUUCGAUCUACGAAAUACUAAAGCCCCCUGGUGUGUAUUGGGCGGCCAUGAGAAAGCUGUAAGCUAUGUGAAAUUCUUGGACUCGGAGACCCUUGUAUCUGCAUCCACUGACAACACGUUGAAGCUAUGGGAUCUUAAUAGAACCAAUCCUACUGGCUUGUCUACCAAUGCUUGCAGUUUAACUCUCAAUGGUCACACUAAUGAAAAGAAUUUCGUGGGUCUAUCUGUUUCCGAUAGCUACAUUGCUUGUGGUUCAGAAACAAAUGAAGUAUAUGCUUACCAUAGAUCUCUGCCCAUGCCAAUGACUUCCUAUAAGUUUGGUUCUAUUGACCCCGUUUCUGGAAAAGAGACCGAGGACGACAAUGGACAGUUUGUUUCGAGUGUAUGCUGGAGAGGAAAAUCCGACAUGGUUGUUGCAGCCAAUUCAAGUGGGUGUAUAAAAGUACUGCAAAUGGUUUGAAUGUGAAAACUCAUUUUCUGAGAUUAACUUGACCAUUGUGGUCAUCUUCAGUCGCUUUACAGCUCGUGAAUUUGACAGAAUAUCUGAAGCCCAAUUCUGAGAAUAGCUAGUUAUAAAAGCUGCAAAAGAAGCAGAUUGGUUGCAUAUUGAGAUUGAACACUUCCUCUUCUGGACUAUGAUUUUCUCCUUGAGCAUUCCAAAGAUUUGUUCUAAUUUCAAGAGAAGGAUUUCCAAUGAACACUCAUUAGUUUCCCUUUACCUCGUUUCUCUUUCUUAAGUGUUCAUUUGACCUGUGUGUUUAUUCGCCCAGAAUGGAUAUGGGAUACCAAUUAUACUUUUGGCUUUUAAAAUAUGUGCUGAAAAUCUAUGCAUGGAGGACUGCAGAUCAUAUAUUUACUAAU